GAACGAGACAUCUCCCCAUUGCCCGGUUCCGAGACGUUUGGACAAGGAGGUGCAGAGAAAUUCGGAAAUAGGAUGCAUGUAGUUCCGACGUGCGUCCGAGAUUUAGGAACUAAGGACAUCAUUGGUAGUCGUGAGCCUGUGGUGUCUCGAAAACCAAGUCAAUGACUAAGCAUGUAGAAAGCCUAUUGAUUCCGCGUUUGGACGAGGGUUCAAUCCCCUCCAGCUCCACUU
rnacentral:tmRNA from 1 species